UGCACCCGGGUAAGUCCUAUACGACCAGCUCCCUUUGAAUCCCCCAGGGUUUGACCGCAGCAAGGGUAGAAGGUUGUAGCGGUGCGAUGUAGUAAGCUUGCCCUUUU
rfam:Bacteroidetes oral taxon 274 str. F0058 genomic scaffold supercont1.1, whole genome shotgun sequence.